GAUGAAGAACGUAGUGAAAUGCGAUAACUAAUGUGAAUUGCAGAAUUCCGUGAAUCAUCGAGUCUUUGAACGCACAUUGCGCCCCCUGGUAUUCCGGGGGGCAUGCCUGUCCGAGCGUCAUUGCUGCCCAUCAAGCACGGCUUGUGUGUUGGGUCCCGUCCCCCUCUCCCGGGGGACGGACCCGAAAGGCAGCGGCGGCACCGCGUCCGGUCCUCGAGCGUAUGGGGCUUUGUCACCCGCUCUUGUAGGCCCGGCCGGCGCUUGCCGACACCCAACCAUUUUUUUCAGGUUGACCUCGGAUCAGGUAGGGAUACCCGCUGAACUUAAGCAUAUCAAUAAGCGGAGA
rnacentral:misc_RNA from 1 species